GGGUUGUGAGGUUAAGCGACUAAGCGUACACGGUGGAUGCCCUGGCAGUCAGAGGCGAUGAAGGACGUGCUAAUCUGCGAUAAGCGCCGGUAAGGUGAUAUGAACCGUUAUAACCGGCGAUUUCCGAAUGGGGAAACCCAGUGUGACUCGUCACACUAUCAUUAACUGAAUCCAUAGGUUAAUGAGGCGAACCGGGGGAACUGAAACAUCUAAGUACCCCGAGGAAAAGAAAUCAACCGAGAUUCCCCCAGUAGCGGCGAGCGAACGGGGAGGAGCCCAGAGCCUGAAUCAGCAUGUGUGUUAGUGGAAGCGUCUGGAAAGGCGCGCGAUACAGGGUGACAGCCCCGUACACAAAAGCGCAUGUGCUGUGAGCUCGAUGAGUAGGGCGGGACACGUGGUAUCCUGUCUGAAUAUGGGGGGACCAUCCUCCAAGGCUAAAUACUCCUGACUGACCGAUAGUGAACCAGUACCGUGAGGGAAAGGCGAAAAGAACCCCGGCGAGGGGAGUGAAAAAGAACCUGAAACCGUGUACGUACAAGCAGUGGGAGCCCCACCACUAAGCCAGUGGUGAACUCCACAUACGCAUCCUUUGCUGAGGAUACGGUUAACGGAGCGAAAGCGACGUUCAACCUCAAAAGAAGCAGAGGGGGCUUAGUGGUGGGGUGACUGCGUACCUUUUGUAUAAUGGGUCAGCGACUUAUAUUCUGUAGCAAGGUUAACCGUAUAGGGGAGCCGGAGGGAAACCGAGUCUUAACCGGGCGUUAAGUUGCAGGGUAUAGACCCGAAACCCGGUGAUCUAGCCAUGGGCAGGUUGAAGGUUGGGUAACACUAACUGGAGGACCGAACCGACUAAUGUUGAAAAAUUAGCGGAUGACCUGUGGCUGGGGGUGAAAGGCCAAUCAAACCGGGAGAUAGCUGGUUCUCCCCGAAAGCUAUUUAGGUAGCGCCUCGUGAAUUCAUCUCCGGGGGUAGAGCACUGUUUCGGCUAGGGGGCCAUCCCGGCUUACCAACCCGAUGCAAACUGCGAAUACCGGAGAAUGUUAUCACGGGAGACACACGGCGGGUGCUAACGUCCGUCGUGAAGAGGGAAACAACCCAGACCGCCAGCUAAGGUCCCAAAGUCAUGGUUAAGUGGGAAACGAUGUGGGAAGGCCCAGACAGCCAGGAUGUUGGCUUAGAAGCAGCCAUCAUUUAAAGAAAGCGUAAUAGCUCACUGGUCGAGUCGGCCUGCGCGGAAGAUGUAACGGGGCUAAACCAUGCACCGAAGCUGCGGCAGCGACACUAUGUGUUGUUGGGUAGGGGAGCGUUCUGUAAGCCUGUGAAGGUGGCCUGUGAGGGUUGCUGGAGGUAUCAGAAGUGCGAAUGCUGACAUAAGUAACGAUAAAGCGGGUGAAAAGCCCGCUCGCCGGAAGACCAAGGGUUCCUGUCCAACGUUAAUCGGGGCAGGGUGAGUCGACCCCUAAGGCGAGGCCGAAAGGCGUAGUCGAUGGGAAACGGGUUAAUAUUCCCGUACUUGGUGUUACUGCGAAGGGGGGACGGAGAAGGCUAUGUUGGCCGGGCGACGGUUGUCCCGGUUUAAGCGUGUAGGUGUGUGUUCCAGGUAAAUCCGGUUCACUUUAACACUGAGGCGUGAUGACGAGGCACUACGGUGCUGAAGCAACAAAUGCCCUGCUUCCAGGAAAAGCCUCUAAGCAUCAGGUAACAUCAAAUCGUACCCCAAACCGACACAGGUGGUCAGGUAGAGAAUACCAAGGCGCUUGAGAGAACUCGGGUGAAGGAACUAGGCAAAAUGGUGCCGUAACUUCGGGAGAAGGCACGCUGACACGUAGGUGAAGUGAUUUACUCAUGGAGCUGAAGUCAGUCGAAGAUACCAGCUGGCUGCAACUGUUUAUUAAAAACACAGCACUGUGCAAACACGAAAGUGGACGUAUACGGUGUGACGCCUGCCCGGUGCCGGAAGGUUAAUUGAUGGGGUCAGCGCAAGCGAAGCUCCUGAUCGAAGCCCCGGUAAACGGCGGCCGUAACUAUAACGGUCCUAAGGUAGCGAAAUUCCUUGUCGGGUAAGUUCCGACCUGCACGAAUGGCGUAAUGAUGGCCAGGCUGUCUCCACCCGAGACUCAGUGAAAUUGAACUCGCUGUGAAGAUGCAGUGUACCCGCGGCAAGACGGAAAGACCCCGUGAACCUUUACUAUAGCUUGACACUGAACAUUGAGCCUUGAUGUGUAGGAUAGGUGGGAGGCUUUGAAGUGUGGACGCCAGUCUGCAUGGAGCCGACCUUGAAAUACCACCCUUUAAUGUUUGAUGUUCUAACGUGGACCCGUGAUCCGGGUUGCGGACAGUGUCUGGUGGGUAGUUUGACUGGGGCGGUCUCCUCCUAAAGAGUAACGGAGGAGCACGAAGGUUGGCUAAUCCUGGUCGGACAUCAGGAGGUUAGUGCAAUGGCAUAAGCCAGCUUGACUGCGAGCGUGACGGCGCGAGCAGGUGCGAAAGCAGGUCAUAGUGAUCCGGUGGUUCUGAAUGGAAGGGCCAUCGCUCAACGGAUAAAAGGUACUCCGGGGAUAACAGGCUGAUACCGCCCAAGAGUUCAUAUCGACGGCGGUGUUUGGCACCUCGAUGUCGGCUCAUCACAUCCUGGGGCUGAAGUAGGUCCCAAGGGUAUGGCUGUUCGCCAUUUAAAGUGGUACGCGAGCUGGGUUUAGAACGUCGUGAGACAGUUCGGUCCCUAUCUGCCGUGGGCGCUGGAGAACUGAGGGGGGCUGCUCCUAGUACGAGAGGACCGGAGUGGACGCAUCACUGGUGUUCGGGUUGUCAUGCCAAUGGCACUGCCCGGUAGCUAAAUGCGGAAGAGAUAAGUGCUGAAAGCAUCUAAGCACGAAACUUGCCCCGAGAUGAGUUCUCCCUGAGACUUAAAGUCUCCUGAAGGAACGUUGAAGACGACGACGUUGAUAGGCCGGGUGUGUAAGCGCAGCGAUGCGUUGAGCUAACCGGUACUAAUGAACCGUGAGGCUUAACCUUACAACGCCGAAG
rnacentral:rRNA from 1 species